UGUCGGUUCAUAAAGACGCCUGAUGUCGGGACGGUGAAGGCACGUCUACAAGAUAAUGUGGUGUAAACAGAUGGUAAACAUAAUUUCCGGACACAGAUGCGACUUGCAAGGGUCAAAAUCUUUAAAUUAUGAUCUCUAUGUGCAUGCGAAUAUCUUCAGCCGACUUGUGAAAUGUCCAAACAGCUCCAACUGCUACCUAAGAUGAUAACACGGACGAUAAAGGAAUGAAGGGUAUGUCUGCUUCACUACGAUAGACAAAACUUGCACAUCUACUUUCAAGCUGGUGAAAGCACGACUUCAAGAUGUAAGCUAAAAAAGAAGAUGGUAAUUUCCGGCCACAAGUGUCAAAAUCUUAAAAUUAGGGUCGAAGAGAAAUAUACGUCUUCUUGCGGUAAACCAGAAUACAGCACGGCAUUUUGCUUCAUAUACGUGUUAUUCAAAAGACAACAACAGUUUAAAGCCAAAGGAACCCAAUCUAACAAAUUGUGUCAGUCGUUGGACAUUCAAAAUCAUGAUCUGAUAUAUCGUUUGGAAAUUCUCCCCUUUGCUGAUGAAAUACCAUAUAUCAUUUAAUGGAUCUUUAACUAGAACAGAACGGAACAGAACAGAACGGACCAGAACAGAACUCUCAGUCAGCAUUUACAUCUCUGUAAAUGGCAUCGAUAUUGCCAUUUACUUUAUCAUAUAUUUAUCGAUUUAUAAGUGGUAUUCUGCGGACUCCGUAAUUGAUACAUUGACAUUUUCUUGACAAAAUAUUGAUAAAUCAGUUGAUAGACCGAUAUCGAAGUUGGAUUUUGCUGUUAUCCGAAUUCAGAGAGCAGCAUAAUACAAUAAGUACAAUGAUUAUCAAGAUUUAUAAAAAAUGUUUCACCUAGAGUUAUUUUGACAUAGGAAAUUCUACACGUCUGACAAACCGGAAGUAAAGGCAUGACGUCAUUUAACCGGAAAUAUAACACAAAACCUGGACUCGGCAUAUGGAUUCUCCUUUUCGUUUGCCUAAUUUUCUUAAAAUAUCUAUGGGUUUGAAAACUUAAGAUUUUCUCAAUUCGAGCAAACAACAACAACAAC
rnacentral:lncRNA from 1 species